rnacentral:rRNA from 1 species
CUCUAGAGAUUGUAGUCAUAUGCUUGUCUCGCAGAUUAAGCCAUGCAUGCCUAAGUGUAAAUAUUUUACGGUAAAACUGCGAAUGGCUCAUUACAACAGUCAUUGUUUGCCUGGAGUAUCAAUCCACCGGAUAUCCGUGGUAAUUCUACAGUCAAUACGUGCCAGUUCUUUCGGGAACGCUGCAUAUUACUGUGAACAAUCGAUGAGGUGACUCGUCUACCCUGAGCAAUUGUAUGCGCAAAUCGCGUUACGACGCGACAGUCCAUCAAAGUUUCUGACCUAUCAGGUUCCGACGGUUGGGUAUUGGCCAAUUGUGCCUAUAACGGGUAACGGGGGAUUAGGGUUUGAUCCCGGAGAGGGAGCAUGAGAGAUGGCUACCACAUCUAAGGAAGGCAGCAGGCGCGCAAAUUACCCAUCCCUGACACAGGGAGGUAGUAAAUAGAAAUAAUGACGCACGAUUCAUAUUGUGCGAUCGGAAUGAAUAGCUUCUAAACGAAGUUAUGAAUUCAAUUGGAGGGCAAGUCUGGUGCCUGCAGCCGCGGUAAUUCCAGCUCCAGUAGCGUAUAUUAAAGUUGUUGCAGUUAAAAAGUUCGUAGUCGAUUUCUUUCUGCUCAGGCAUGUGGCACCUACGGUGUUUCACGUUCUUUCAGCAGAAAGUGUGCAUCUCCUGACGUGUUAUGCGGAAGGUCUGGUGCAUCGUACUUUGAGUGAAUCGGCGUGUUCCACGCAGGCGAAAGCCCGAACGAUUUACCAUAGUAUAACAAGAGUAUGAUUGUGUCUCAUCGUUAGUUCGGCGGCACUUUCUAUACUGAUGAGAACGGUUGAGGGCAUUCGUAUUCAAGUGCCAGAGGUGAAAUUCUUUGAUUAGUUGAGGACGAGCUAUUGCGAAAGCAUCUGCCAGGGACGUUUCUUUUGAUCAAGAACGAAAGUUGGGUGAUCGAAGAUGAUUAGAUACCGUCGUAGUCCUAACUAUAAACUGUGCUAUCCUAGAGAUGGAUAGGUUCCAUUAUGUCUAUCCAGUACUUUAUGAGAAAUCGUGAGAUUCUGAGUUCUGGGGGGAGUAUAGUUGCAAGGCCGAAACUUAAAGGAAUGACGGAAGAAUCGUCGACUGCMKCACGUC